rnacentral:misc_RNA from 1 species
UGUAACUUCUAAACAAAUUAGGAUUAACCUUUUUAAAGCAGGAAAAUAUAGAUAUUCUAAUUUCCUAUGCUACUGGAUAAUCUCCUCAUUAUCACUCAUAUAUUGUCGUAACAAGGUUCAUGUGCUGUGAAUAGUAAUGUGAACAGUGUCGAUGAACAAUACCUGUGAAAAUUUAGCGUGAACGGUACCCAAUGAACAGUGCGUGUGAAUAGUAAGCAUGAAUAGUGCACAUGAACAGUACUAAAACGUACCCUAAUGAAUCGAAAGCUCUGA